rnacentral:lncRNA from 1 species
GGUGACUUACUUGAUGCCAGAAAGCACGGCACUGAGGCCUGUGGCCAUCUCUAGGGCCAAGGCGUCUGGGUGGGGCCACUACUGGGGUCCUUCAUGACGGGGAGGCCCAGACACACUAGGCUCCCCCAGGACCCAGGCUUUACUUCCCUCAUCCCAUCCAGGCCCAACAGUGCCCCACUGGCCUUCUCUCAUUAAUUCCACACCUUGGCAGACUCCUUAGAGUUCCAUGGAUUGUCAACUUUAUCUUAAGUGCUUCAUCCUUGAGCAGUAUCAUCUCCAUUUCACAGAAGGGAAAGGAGAGUUUCAGAGAGGUUAAGUGACUUGCUACAGACUGCACAGCUAUGACCUCACAUAGCCAAAAUGUGAACCCAAGUUCUCUGGCCUCAAAUGUCAGCCACUCUCCACUGCUCUGCCUCCCCCUCCGAGGACCACUCAGUUGCUAGGAGACAGCAAGCCAGUGGUUACUAUGGGAACCUGGCUGAUGUGGAAAGUGGAAAGAGUUGGUGUCCAGACAGCAGUGGGAAGGCUCCAGGAACAACGCAGAGGCUUCACUCUGGAUGACAAACGAGGAGGGGAGAGGCCUGCCCUGCCUGGACUCUGGGUCUUUUCUGAAUGGACCUGACCAUUUCGAAGAACAGAAUGGCAAUUUCACAUGGUGCAACCGGGGAGGUGAACCGCCCAGCCCAGAGCCGGCCUGCAGCGGCACUCACCCCAGCAGCUGUCGUAGCGGAGCGAGCCUGCGUCCUCUAUAAACCCAGGUGACCUCGCGCUUCUUCGUUUCUGUUUUCCUGGAAAUUUUUACAAAAUUCCUUUGAACUCUCCAACUUCUCUCGCUAAGUGAAAAUAAGUUGGGGUCUCUGAUUAAAACAGAAAAGCCGAUAUUCCGC